rnacentral:misc_RNA from 1 species
GAUGAAGAACGUAGCGAAAUGCGAUAAGUAAUGCGAAUUGCAGAAUUUCCGUGAGUCAUCGAAUCUUUGAACGCACAUUGCGCCCACUGGUAUUCCGGUGGGCAUGCCUGUUCGAGCGUCAUUAUCCUCCCUCAAACCUCGGGUUUGGUGUUGGACCCAAGUUGUGUGAACAACUGGUCUUAAAGACAAUGACGGCGUCCGUGGGACCCUCGGUGCAACGAGCUUUUAGGAGCACGCGUCGAGUUUCAAGGACCUUCCGGGCCGGUCUCCUUUACCAUUUUACAAGGUUGACCUCGGAUCAGGUAGGAAUACCCGCUGAACUUAAGCAUACCAAUAAGCGGAGGA